rnacentral:lncRNA from 1 species
AGAAAGAGUCACGGAGACCAAGAGUUUGGCUCCUUAGCUGCUACUCUGGGUGGGAAUUACAAAUAUCUGGACAUUCUUGCCAGGGUCUAAAAUUCCGGCACUCAAGACAAGGCACGAGAGCUUGCGGCUCCAGUUUUCCCCAAGGCUAAUGGUGAAGUUCAUCUAUUUCGGGAAUGCUUCAGCAAUGCUAUUACUAAUUGUUUUGCAGCAAAUAUCUGGAUUUCUGCUCUAAGCAGUUUUGUUUGGCUUUUCUAUUUGUUUGGGUUGUUUGGGGCUUUUUUUUUUUAACUCCCUCAAAGUUUUAUCUACACAAAUUCAUUUGAAAUAAACCUUUCCAGAUAAAAAUUGGCUUUAUGUCA